ACUCUUAAGCCAUCGUGGGAGGAGAGCUCCUCCAGGGCAGAGCUGGAGAUAAGAGAAUCAUUUCAUCUUCUAUUUGGCUCCAGCAAAGGCUUCCGCUGCACGACAAAACAUUUCCCCUCCGGAGGAACUGUGUGAGUGCCACUGGAUGGAUGUGAAAAGUUGGCAUAAAAUAUUCCAUGUCGCUCAAAUUGCAUUGCUCCUUCCUCCACAGAAGCCGGCAAUGUGAAAGCUGAUUGCAGCUGUUGCCUACCCGGUGCUUUGGGGUUUCUGUGUGCUAUGAGCAGUGGGUUCCUGCCACGUAUGAAGAAACUGAUGUUGCAUCACGAGCAGCGUCGCAAGGGCUGAAAGGAAGCUCUGUCACUGCGGUCUCUGCUAUGGGGCUGAGCAAACGAUCACAGUGGGAUUCAUUCCAGCGAAGAGCAGUGAUGCGUUCCAGCUUUCACCCAGAGAGCUCAGAGCAUUGCAGGGAGUGUAGUCCUCCUGGAUUGCAGAGGGAGCAUGGAAUGGAGCCAGGUUUGCUGCUGCCAGGCAGCGAUCCGGGCAGAGCUGUGUUUCCUGCCUUGCUGCGCCGUGCCAACUCCAUACUGCAUGACAGAGAAUGGGAGAUGGGGAAGCCUAAAGAGCCUGGUGUGGGGCUGCUGGUAGCAAGGAGGAGUUUCUGGAGCUACUGGUGCUGGUUGGAGGAACAAAGCCUUGUUGCCACUGCAGCCUUGCGAGCAGCAAAGAGCUCUGCAGUGAAACCGGAGGACAUGGGAACAUCAUUAUUUUGUCUUUCAAACUACAUCCCAUGGAGCAUAGUGGUACUAUCAGACCUCCCCUGGGGAUGAGGAUGCACUGUGCCUCCUCCUGAUGGCAGAGCGUGGCUCAGGAACACGUUUUUGAAGAACAUUUUGCAAGCAAGGGAACCAUGCUUGCACAACAGCGUACUUCUCAAGUGACUUAGAUGGUUCAGAUAUCUUUGCUCCCCUGGCUUUCAGGAAAGUAUAAACAUCCUUCAGGUAUCUCCAUUCCAUCUGAAAUACCUCUGAGCCACAGAGAAUAAAAGAUUUAUUGCAUAAAUUGCUGUGUGGGUUUUCUUGCUUGGAUGCAGGAGGUGAAGGUGCUGCCCAGACCUCAAAGCUCCAUUCUUUUUGCUCUUGUCUGCAGAUAAAGAGAGUCUGCAGACAACUCCUCUUUCCCCUCAAGAGGUGAACCCUCAUCUGUGCAGCAAGUAUUAAACACUGGAGAAGUCCAAUGUCCUAUUUAUUAGACACCAAAGAAUCCAAAUGCUAUACAUGGGGAUGUAUUAGUGUAUAUCCAGUUGGAGAACCCACAGCAGGACUAAAUCUUGAGAAAGCUUUCUAGCAACCCACAUCUGAGGGAUUCUACUCUUUGUGAUGGUUCUUUUUUUCCAAGGAUGGGGGUGUAAUGCCUGUAUCCCCCAAGGAGUUGGGACAACCAGGAGUAAUUGUAUUCUCCCAUUUUCACGUUGCCUUGAAAGGACAUUCACACAGCAAAAUGGAAGAAAAUCAACACCUUCUUCAACAUUCAGGCUAAAGCCUAAAUCCCUAUUCAUACGAAAGCUUCUGCUGGCUCUUGCAGUGUUUAUUGUUCUCAUUUUAAUUGAAGUAGAGGGAUUAAUGCAGCUCUGUUUUCCUUCACUGACUUCAAUGAAUUGCUCUUGAGCACAGACCAGGAACAGGGCUGGGGCUUUGCUUUAUGUUUUUUUUUUUUUUUACCCCAUUUUAAGGACUUGCAAGUUCAGUCCUGAAUGUUUGCCCAGGGCUUUGUUCAAGGUACAUGGCAAGACUGGUGUUGGUGGAGCCGGAGGAUGGAUCAUGGCAGGAUCACCACAUUCCUCUGCUGGCCUUACUGCAAGGAAAAAUCAUUUUUCUUUUGCCAACGAGUCCCGUAAUGGACAGAAAUGAGGAGAGGGAGAAACCAUGGUUUCUUUUCUGCAAAGGGACUGUAUGGAGAGAAUGUGGCCAAUCCCAAUGCACUGCAUGGCCAGAGAGAGGGCUGAGCCUGGGGAUGAGCUCCCUUCAAUCACUCCUUAAGGGGUGUAGGAAGGAGGACAUUUUCCUCCUGUCUGAGUGAUGAAGUUCAAGGCCAGCACACGGCAUACUUUGCACAAACAUUUGUAGGAAAAUUAUUGUUGCUUUUUUCCUCGAAUCGAUAAAACAAAGCCAUAGACCGGGAUAUCCAUGCAGCCAUCAGAUUUUGAUCUGAGAUAGACCCCUUGGUCUUAGCAGAUUGUGUGAGUAAUUUGUGCUCAGUGUAACCUACUCAGGCAUGAAUAUUACAUCAGUUAAAAUCAAUCAGAUUGCAACACCAUCCCCAGGUGACAGGAGUGAGCAGGAGACCUCAGCGUCACCCUUCACUGCAUUCCCUGUGUCAAGUCUGCAAAACAAACCACACCUGCGAUCCAGACUCCCAGAGGGUGUAAGUGGGGGACAUAGAUUUGGCAUCAGUCAUUGAGCAUCCGAUAUUGGACUCUUGCAUGGCUUUCCUCACUUGGAUUAUAAAUCAAAAGUCCAUGAAGGGGAAAUGAACAAGCUUGAUUCACAGCAUCAUGGAACCACAGGAGCUGGGAGGGAUCUCUGGAGGUCAUCGAGUCCAACCCUACUGCUUAAGAAGGUUCCCUACAGCAGGUUGCACAGGAAAGCAUUUCCACCCAGGGAACCAUUGGCCUUCUUGGCCACCAAGCAUGCUGCUGGCUUGUGGUCACCCUGUUGGCCACCAGGACCCCCAGGUCCUUUUCUGUAGACCUCCUUUCCAGCAGCUGAGCUCCCAGCUGGCACUGAUGCACGUGGUUCUUCCUCCCCAGGUGUAAGACCCUCCAUUUGCCUAUGUUGAACCUCAUCAGGUUCCUCUCCACCCAACUCUCCACCUGUCCAGCUCACUGAAUGGCAGCACGACCUUCUGCUGGCUCAGUCGCUCCUCCCAGCUUUGUGCCAUCACUGAGCAUGCUGAGGGUGGACUCUAUCCCUUCACCCAGGUCGUUGAUGAAGAUGUUGAACAAGACCCAACCCCGCACUCAUCACUGGGGAGCAGCACUAGGUACAGCCUCCUACCAGACAGCACUGCUGGUUGCAGUCCUCUGAGCUCUGCUGGCCACCAUCUCUCAGCCUCCCUCACUGUCCAUUCAUCUAUUGCACACUCCC
ensembl:lncRNA